UUUGGAUUUCCACUUGCCAUAGCUUUUGUUGGAGGAUUUGGAGGUUUUUUCAGGGCAUAGAGGUCUUACAAAGAUGUUGAAGUUUGCCUCAUCUUUGUUGGAUUGAAGAAAAAAAAUGGGGCAUUCAAAAUAUCUAGGACUCGCAUCCCAAGACCUAUGGUCCUGGAUCCCAUUCUUGUGAAACUGAGAUCUGAUGCUGUUAGAAUGGAGCCUAUUCCCUUGGAUGUUAAUGGCCAUUCAUUUUGGAGAUUAAAAGUGUAUACUGCUGAACCGGAUUUUUUGCGUCAAGGCAAG